rnacentral:rRNA from 1 species
AACGAACGCUGGCGGCAUGCCUAACACAUGCAAGUCGAACGAGACCUUCGGGUCUAGUGGCGCACGGGUGCGUAACGCGUGGGAAUCUGCCCUUGGGUUCGGAAUAACAGCGAGAAAUUGCUGCUAAUACCGGAUGAUGACGUAAGUCCAAAGAUUUAUCGCCCAAGGAUGAGCCCGCGUAGGAUUAGCUAGUUGGUGAGGUAAAGGCUCACCAAGGCGACGAUCCUUAGCUGGUCUGAGAGGAUGAUCAGCCACACUGGGACUGAGACACGGCCCAGACUCCUACGGGAGGCAGCAGUGGGGAAUAUUGGACAAUGGGCGAAAGCCUGAUCCAGCAAUGCCGCGUGAGUGAUGAAGGCCUUAGGGUUGUAAAGCUCUUUUACCCGGGAUGAUAAUGACAGUACCGGGAGAAUAAGCUCCGGCUAACUCCGUGCCAGCAGCCGCGGU